AUACGUAGGGGGCGAGCGUUGUCCGGAAUGAUUGGGCGUAAAGGGCGCGUAGGCGGCCGCUUAAGUCUGGAGUGAAAGUCCUGUUUUCAAGAUGGGAAUUGCUUUGGAUACUGGGGGGCUUGAGUGCAGGAGAGGUUAUCGGAAUUCCCGGUGUAGCGGUGAAAUGCGUAGAGAUCGGGAGGAACACCAGUGGCGAAGGCGGGUAACUGGACUGCAACUGACGCUGAGGCGCGAAAGUGUGGGGAGCAAACAGGAUUAGAUACCCUGGUAGUCCACACUGUAAACGAUGAAUGCUAGGUGUAGGGGGUAUCGACCCCUUCUGUGCCGCAGUCAACACAAUAAGCAUUCCGCCUGGGGAGUACGGCCGCAAGGUUGAAACUCAAAUGAAUUGACGGGG
rnacentral:rRNA from 1 species